AAAAUUCAUGUAAUCGACGCUGGAUUAACAAUAGGCAAAUUUGCAGGAUGGAAAUGGUAAUCUUGAUCAUUGUUUUUUCAAUUAAAGAAACGAUUGGGAAAGCUGUUUGAUCAUUAAUGCGUUUGGCAAACGAGCUCAAGACUUGAACAAGAAUGACGUCGAGUUGGCCAAGCAAUUAACCCAGUUUUACUUCCCGGAAAAGAACAAUCCGGAUUUGAACUCGAGUCCCACAUCCUACAAAUUACUGAUUUCUUCACGGAUGGAACAUUUUUCUCACACUUCGGAUGUUACUUCAAGACAAAUUGCACUCCACGGGCAAGCCAAAUAUUCUACUAUGUUUUCGCGCAUCAAGGUCAAAGGUCUGUGGAGGAUUUUUUGGAGAGCAGCCUGCCCGGGGUUAUGAAAUUGAUUUUCCUAAAUGUGAUAGGAAUCAAUCCAUCCAAGAAAAUGGGCGUCUGUCACGCCGAUGAUUUGCCAUAUUUAUUUAGCUCAACUCUUCCUAUGGAGACGUUGGAUGAUCCAAAGAUGUGGAUAUCAGUCGCAAGCUCGUAGACAUGUGGACUAAUUUUGCCAUCCAUCGCCAUCCAACACCUCGUUCCAAGGAUGGAAAAGUGAUUGGACCCAAUCUGCAAGACAUUCGACCAUACUUGGAAGUCUGUCCAGAAACAAUUGGAUUUGAAUGAAACUAUUUACUAAACCUUGAUAGCAAUGGAUUCAGACAUGAACCCAACGCGAAUUGGACAAUCGACUGCGAUUUUGGGAAGAGAUGACGAGCGGAGAGUUAAAAUGGUGAAUUCAUCAAGUACUACCCA